CAGCGCCACGGCGUGCGGGCCGGGCCCCAGCACCUCCCGCCGCCACCCCGGGCCCCUCCGCGCCGUCAUGGCGGCCGCCGCCUCUGCCGUUGCCAUGGCGAAGCGGAAGUGACCUCACGACGCAAGGGACGCUCAGAGCGGGCGGGAGCCCGGCCGGGCGGAGGGGGGCCGCGCAUGCGCAGUGCGCCCGCGCCGCCUGAGAGGGCACAAAAUGGCGGCCGGGGGUGGGGGUGUUGUCAUGUCGUCACGUCGCGAUGUCGCCUGUCGCCACAACGCGUCGCGGGUUGGGGUUGCUCGGCGAGAAUGCGGCUCCCUGCGCCCUCCCGCGGCUCCUGAGAGGGGUUGGGGCUGGUGCGCGGCUCCCAGCAGCGCCUCAGGAGCUGCGGUUGCUUCAGGUCCAUCGGGUACCUUUAUUCAUUUUCCUGAAGGGAUUUGCUGAUCGCUCACAUUCACAUGAUCGUCUGAGUCAGAGACAGGAGACGCAACCACGCUGAGCGCGAGCAGCAGAGAUCAGAACUUUUACUAGCACGUGUUUUCAGGCAUGAGCUCAAAAUCGAGCCUUUCCUUCACUCGUGUCCCAAACUACCAAACUUUGAAGUUUUGCUGGUAAUAAGUCCUGUAGCCUAAGAGUUCCGCAGAUGUUCAAUCGUGCGGCUCUAAGUUAGCUCUCAUCGUUCUACAGGGUUAUCUUUACUAAAACACUUGUUUCUUUCACAGAUCUGCCUCCCCUUGGAAUCAUAUGGAAGGAGGAUGGAAGCUAGGACAGGUUUAGGUUCUAACACUCCUGACACUGGUGCCAUGAGACAAAAUUCUUUACCCCUGACCCCCACAUCAGAAGGUUGUGGCAAAGAUCAGCUGCUGUUCCUCUCCUUUCUGUCUCUCAAGCUUUAAAGAGCAAAGAGUAACCACAGAAAGGGAACGCAGCACGAAAGAGGGGUGAAUGAUCCCAGCAUGAAAUGAUUAGCACAGACAUGUACAGUUUAUUUUAGGGCUGCCCCAGGAGGUCAUUUACAAAUUUCAGUGGAUCUGGCCAUAAAACUGCAGCCAGUUCUGAAAAACUCCACGUCGGAACAAUUUCCCUACUGUAAAAAGGAGAAAAUGUGAUUUUUUGUUGCUGAAAAAAAUACUAUUCUUUUUUUAGUACUGGGACAAGACUUGAGCCUUUAACCCAGCCGGAAUAUUUAAAGAGGAACUGAAAAUAAAUUUGAAUUUUGAGACUUUUUGCUAAUUCAAUGAUCAUUCAAAGGUUCCUUCAGUGUAGCUAAAAAGCUCUCUCUACAUUUUCCUUCUCGAUAUUUCUACAUUUUCCAGGGAUUGAGUUUUUUAAACGGUUUUGAGAAAUAAGAUCACGCGGUGGUGGAGGUGCUUUUGCGUCAUCCUCACAUGCCAAUCGCAGGAAGCUGCCCCCAGCCGCCCACGUUGCGACGGGCAGUGUGACUUUUGCACCGCCGGUCACCAAAAUGUCAGUGGUAAUCUGGCGGCUGGCACGAGGAGAAGCGCUGAUGAAAGGUUAGAUCCAAGUGGAGAAUGAGGAAAGGGCAGGUUCCACAGAGAUUAUUUAAGUUCAUGCUUUUCCUGUGAAGUUUGAUGGGCUUUGUCCUAGAUGACUUCAAAACUGUUGCCAGUGGUGGCAGGGCUGUCUGUUGAGGGCUUUCGGGAGGGAGAUUGGACAGAAAAGGGGCAGACAGGAUCCAUUUGAAGAAAAAGAAAAAAAAGGAAAGGA